rnacentral:rRNA from 1 species
GACAGAGGAUGCAAGCGUUAUCCGGAAUGAUUGGGCGUAAAGCGUCUGUAGGUGGCUUUUAAGUCCGCCGUCAAUCCAGGCUCAACCCUGGACAGGCGGUGGAAACUACCAAGCUGGAGUACGGUAGGGCAGAGGAAUUUCCGGUGGAGCGGUGAAUGCGUAGAGAUCGGAAAGAACACCAACGGCGAAAGCACUCUGCUGGGCCGACACUGACACUGAGAGACGAAAGCUAGGGAGCGAAUGGG